GUGGUGCCACCGUGCACUGCGCACACGUGUAAACCCCAAAGGCGUAGACAACUCGAACAAGUUUGUACGGGGAUUACGGGCUCGGCACUGGCGCAAGCCUUCGUCGGGCCCCUCCAUCCCGGGGUGUCCCACCGAGCGGGCCUCCGGGUCCGCUGUGGGCAUCCCUCGAGUGCGUAGGAUGCGACCCGAAAGAUGGUGAACUAUGCCUGAUCAGGCCGAAGUCAGGGGAAACCCUGAUGGAGGGCCGAAGCAAUUCUGACGUGCAAAUCGAUUGUCAGAGUUGGGCAUAGGGGCGAAAGACCAAUC
rnacentral:rRNA from 1 species